rnacentral:misc_RNA from 1 species
GACACAGGAUCAAAGGCUUCAUGGGUCUAAACAGAAUUCUUUCCAGUUUAAGUUGUUAACAGGAUUGACAUAGACGUCAAUUUUGUCCGUGGAUAAUGUGAUGAAUACUCAAGUCAUAUGCCAUUUUUCUAUCGCAAACUAACAGCAGGCAUUUAUUGUUAACUCAAUUUAAGUGAUAGCGCUCUGGGUUGCAAACAUUACUUUGUUGCAUCCUAUCUCACCAAUCCCCCUUUUUGAAUAAAAUUACUCAAGAGAAUAGAUAAAUGAGAACAAAUAUCUGUGAAUUUUCAUCACCUGGAUCAGUAAGCCAUCCUAA